GUUUGAUCCUGGCUCAGAUUGAACGCUGGCGGCAUGGCUAAAACAUGCAAGUCGAACGAGGUUUUUUCUUCGGAUAGAACCUAGUGGCGAAAGGGCGAGUAAUGCAUUUCUGACGUACCCCGAGGUUCAGGAUAGCCCAGGGAAACUUGGAGUAAUACUGGAUGUGGUCAACGGGUCUAGAAGCUGUUGAUCAAAGGAGCAAUCCGCCUUGGGCGCGGGAAAUGUCCUAUCAGGUUGUUGGUGGGGUAAUGGCCUACCAAGCCGAAGACGGGUAGCGGGUGUGAGAGCACGGCCCGCCGCAUCGGGACUGAGACACUGCCCGGACUCCUACGGGAGGCUGCAGUAACGAAUAUUCCACAAUGCGCGAAAGCGUGAUGGAGCAAUGCCGCGUGCAGGAUGAAGGCCUUCGGGUUGUAAACUGCUGUCAGGGUUUAGGAACACAAUGACCAGACCCAAAGGAAGAGACGGCUAACUCUGUGCCAGCAGCCGCGGUAAUACAGAGGUCUCGAGCGUUAAUCGGAAUCACUGGGCUUAAAGCGUACGCAGGCGGACCGGUAAGUACUUUGUGAAAUCCCUCGGCUCAACCGAGGAACUGCUUGGUAUACUGCCGGUCUUGAGCAUGGUAGAGGCGGUCGGAACGAUAGGUGGAGCGGUGAAAUGCGUAGAUAUCUAUCGGAACGCCGAAGGUGAAGACAGGCCGCUGGGCCAUUGCUGACGCUCAGGUACGAAAGCGUGGGGAGCGAACGGGAUUAGAUACCCCGGUAGUCCACGG
rnacentral:rRNA from 1 species